CUACAUUUACCCAGCUGUGACCUGCAAUAAUUGAUUUGAUCAUCAACCAUCAGAAGUUCUAAUUAUAGAAGACGAUGAUUUUGAGGAACAACCGAUCAAAGGUGUAUCUUUACUCUGUCCUACACCCUCAAGAUGAUUUAGACCUGACAGGCCCCAGUAAAGAAUACCCAAGGCAUUAUGGGCUCUACCAUUGAAUGACUUUGAGGGUAUUGAAAAUGACAAUAUUCUACCGUUCUGUACGGCCGGCUUCGCCAAAACUCAAAAACAGCCCAAGAAUCGAAGAUUUAGCACAUAUAUAUAUAUAUAUACACACCUCCAAGAAGCCCCAGCCCUUCGGUAUAUAAUCCUGCGCCUACACCAUAUCCUAGUCCUGCACGGUUCCACAGAACAGCAGUUCAAAUACACAGAACACAGAAUACUGCAUCACCUCUUCCCGGGAAGGUCGACUGGUCUGAAAUGAUUGGAUUCAAGAGCCAUAUGGAUAUGGUAUGAACAGUUUUUUUUAUUAGUUAUAAAAAAAAUUAAAGAAUAUGUUAACUAUUUCAAAUAAUGUUGUGUUUUUCAGACUCAGAUACCUAUACAAAUCUUGCAGUCUAUACAUCAAGAGGACAUCAGGAUAGGAAACACAUCAUCAAGAAUUCUUCAGAAAAACAGGCAUCAAACAACCAAAGACUUCUCCCAGGCCUAUACAAACAUAGACCCAAUACACCAAGAGGAAGAGGAGGAAGAGGAUGCUGAUGUCAUACAGAGUAAAACAUCUAAACCGGUUGAUACAUUCAAUGCUGUUAAUGUCAAGGAUGAUUGAUGUUGCUGAUUAAGGGUUGAGCUAUGAUGAGGAUGUGUUGAUGUAUGAUGCGGCUAAACAGCUUGAUACAAUCAAUUCUGAGGUAGAGCCAAUACUCAUUGUAGAUAGCAUCAAUGAGGACACUGAUCCUGAAACAGAACUUCAAGAUAGGUUUCUCACAGCCUUUUACUCUAAAAGCCAGAGAGGUCCAGCUACACACACGUAUGGUUGCUUUAUUAAGAGGUCAGUACAGCCAAGAUAUAUCCUUCUGGCAUAAAACCAUGUCACGCUUGUUAAGCAUCAAUCUGAUUUUAAAAAAACACCCAAACAAAUGAUAAAAGCCAUAUGUAACAUGGAUACUUCUAGAAUACCACCAGAACUGAUCUCCUUAAUUAACGAGAGAGGUCCCCCCCCCACAUCAGCCCUCAUCUCCCAUAACCCUUACACAUGAACACCCAUUGUCACAGGUGAACUUAUAUCCUUAAUUAACCAAAUGAAUGAGAGCACCCGACCUUCAGCAGCUACACACACAACUCCUAUAACCCGUACACAUUAUCCUUAAUUAACCAAGUGAAUGAGAGCACACCGUCUUCAGCACCCCCCCCCCCCCUUCACAUACACACCUCCUAUAACUCCUAUACAUGAUGACAAUGAGCAACCACAUGAUGAUUUUGAGGAAUUAGAAAAUUGUGUUUUAAAUUCACAUGUAUCAAUCAGAGCCAUAAUUAUGCAGUCGUUUAUGUCAUGAUGUUGGAUACUCUAGGAUACUCUUUUAGAGGGCUACAGAUUUUGUCAAACCUUGUGAUGUCUUACAACUUGAAAUAUGUUGUGAUAGUCUGCAAAACACAGUAUCUCUUGUUGUACCUAAUGGCGAAGCAGAUCUUGAACAAUUUAUAGCCCUGCUGGAACGUCUUGUUCAAUCUAAUUUAUCCAUCAUAGCUGAUAGGACCUUAGAACUUGCUGUACAAAUAGUCUGCCAACCCGCAGGCGGAGGGGGUCAAAGAAGAAAAAUUGAUAGUCUCAUGCAAUCUGAAAUCAUAAAAAAUAAGCAGGCCAUCUCAUAAACGUUAACAAUCCUGGUAAUUAGUUAUGCUUUGCAAUAGGCCCCACAUUUACUCAACCAUGGAUGUACUGAUCUAGAAGCUUUUACAAAAGGCUAGUGAGCUCCAAAAGGUUGUAGGUCUAGGUAGGUCUGACAUAGUAAAAUUUGCUGAACAUCAAGAUUGUAGUUUUGUGCCAUAUUAGAGCUAAUUCAGCUCUCUUGAAAUUCCAGAACAACCCUCAAUCUCAUCCUCAUAUUCUGUGCUUUUAUGUGAAAAACAACCAUUUUUAUGGUAUUACCAACAUCAGAGCUUUGUGUCCAUGUCAUUCAGGCUACAGCCGACAGGGGGCACUCUUGUCGUUAUAACAGUUCAGUGUGUCAGGAUGAAAAAUGUCCGAUGCAGCCCUUACACCAUGUGAGGAUUGUCAUCAUACAUAUCGUUCUGCCUACUGCUACGAAAAACACAUUGAAACAUGGCACCCCAAGGCAUGUAAAUCUGUAAGCAGUUAACAAGAAAUAUCAUGCCAUUGCAAUUACAACCUUAAAAUAGACAACCCCCAAAUUCACUUAUGGGGUAUCAUACACUGCCCAAUCUGUAAAGGGCUUUGAAAAGCAGAGACACUGAAGUGAUUCAAGAAGUGGAACAUGAGUUCUAUUUGGUGAACAUUCAGAGGGAUAUGAUUUAUGACUGAGAGGAAUCAGGGAUUAAUUAGCCUAUUUUUGUAUCUACCAUGACUUUGAAGGGUGAAAAGUGGCUGCCAGAG